rnacentral:lncRNA from 1 species
CUGGAGGGAAUACUGAGGAAAAGGGCGCACAGGCGAGGCCCCUCAGCAGGACAAGAGUUAACCGAGUGAAGAAAAUGCCUUGAUUUUUGCUGCCUCGCAAAUGUACUGAUUAAUUCAGUAGGUUUCCAGUGGCAUGAAAUGGAGCUCAGAGAAAUUUCAAGAACAUUGAACUAGGGAGAACUAAGGGAUUAAUAAUAAUAUUAAAUAAGUUACGGGUUUUUUUUUUUUAUUCUUCCACCUGCAUGCACUGAAUUGUUUUUAACCAUCGUUUAUUUUUUAGCUUGGGAAUAUAAUGAACAUUGAAUUUCUUCAUGUUUUAGGAAUAUCAUGAGGAUGAAGAGACUUAUACUCAUGAGUUUCCCUAAACACACAGUUGGCUUUCUUAUUUCUGCUUUCAUGCAGGUUUGCCUUCUCCCUGCCUCGCGUCUCUAAGUACCAGUUCAGAGGCCACCUGUCAUCUGGAUCACUCUUUGAUCCCCGCAGACAAGAAUUCCUUUCCUCACAUGACUUUCUGGUGGAUAAAAGCUUCCUCAGCCCAUCACUCCUGGAUCAUCCUUCAUUGAACCUCCUCUUCUGUGGAGAAUAAAUAUUACAGCAAAUCAACAAUGGAUGAUUAAGUUAGCAGGGAAGAAAUUAGAGAUUUUUGGAAGCAGUGCAAUGAAAAGUAAAGGAGAGGUCAGAUGGAAUCGCGUAUUUGCUGACCACCAAGCAUGUUCUAGGGGCACCAUGUGUCAUGUUCCCUGCUGAGGCAGGUACCAUCAACCUUUUCGUACAGGUGACGAGACCACAGCACAAGAAGCCGUAAUCCAUCCAGAACCCAAGUUCAGUCACAGAACGAACGUGACUCCUACCCCCACCUGUUAACACGACACCCUCCCUCAACUUCUUAAAAUUAACCUGGACGUCGAUUUUGGAUCUGCACACUGCCUGUCAUAUGCUGUUUCACAAACUGUAAUUCCUAAUCAUCACUGAAGGAACACAUAUAGAUCGAGGACCUGAAAUAAAUUUCUGUCCUUAAGAAACUCACAAUGUAUUUAGAUAAAUAAGAUAUUUCAAGAGAAAGCUAAUGAUAUAAAUAAAUUUGAUAGAAAUGCCAACUGAAUUAGAAUUAAGAAGAACUUUUAGGAGUUCAGAG